UUAAUUAAGAAAUUUUCAACAAAGUUGUUUUUAUUUUAAUAAAAAAGAGGAUUUUUUUUUAUUAUGCUCUGGUCCUUAUAAAAGAAGUUGUUCCUGUUGUAUUGUGAAGGGUUUAUCGACCCUUAAUUUGAAAGAAAUGAAAAAUAUAUGUAUAGGUAACAAUAGUAAUAAUAAUAAUAAUAAUAAUAAUAAUUCCUUUUCACUGGAAACAAUAUGUCUUAAAAGAAUAUGUAGUCGAGUCGAUUUCAUCAUCACCAGUAUUAGGUGUAUACAUGCUUAUCGAUCCCAGAGGGACAAAAGGCAAAGAUGACCUCGGUGGGAUUUGAACUACGAUUGUAGAGGUUCAGUGAUUAAUGUGAGACAUUAAAUCCAGCGCUCUACGUAAUCUAUCAAUUUGCCACAUUUAAUAAGAAUUUUUGUUUUGUAACAUGGGCUCAGGGCUACAAAUAGGUUAGGGUGGUGUAGAAUGGAGGAAUAGACGCUUUCUUCAAUCACCAGUAUUUGACUGAUACUUAUUUUUAUCGACACCAGAAUGGAAAAGGCAAAGUCAACUUGGGCAGGAAUUGAACUCAGAACGUAAAAGUGACGGAACAAACACGUUAAGACAUGUUUCCGACUCUCAAACGAUUCUGCCAAUCUACCGUUUUUUUUAUCAUAAAAAGUUUUAACAUGUACACAAAGCCAGAAGUUUGGAGAAGAUGGGGCGGGUUUAGUCUUGACUAGUACUUUAUUUUAUCUACCCUUAGAAGAAUUAAAAGGGAGAAGUUGACCUCGGCGGGAUUUGAACCCAUCACUACCUUAUAGGCACAAUACUACGAAUUAUCAGCCAAUUAAAUUGGCUGCUUCUUAUUUUAUUAACACCGGAAGAUUUUUUUAUUUAGGUAGGGGCAAGUUAUUUAUGGCAGGAUUUAAAUUCGAAACGUAAAGAGAUUUAGCUAAAUAGAUUAAGUUAUUUAAUCCAGCGUUCAAUGAUUUAUCAAUUCAUCUCCCUUUCUUCUUCUAAUUUAGGCAGAGUACCAGUAAUUUCCAAGGGAUGGGGGUUAAUUGAUACACUAUUGACACCAAUGCUAGGCUAGUACUUUAUUUUAAUGACCCCGAAAGGAUGAAAGGCAAAUCUGUACUUGGCGGGAUUUGAACUCAGAAUGUAAAGAGCUAAAACAAAUAUACUACAAGAAAUUUUUCCAGAUGCUCUAACGAUUCUGCCAGCUCGUCAACUUCGCCCUCAAACUAAUAAUAAUAAUGAUCCUUUCUAUUAUAGGCACAAGGCCUGAAAUUUUAGGGGAGGGGGACUAGUCGAUUACAUCGACCCCAGCGUUUCACUGGUUCCUAAUUUAUAGACCCCCGAAAGGAUAACAGGCAAAGUCGACCUCGGCACAAUUUGAACUCAGAAUGUAAUGACGGCCGAAAGAAAUGCUUGGCGGUAUUUCGCCCGGCGUGCUAACGAUUCUGUCAGCUCGCUGCUUAAUAAUAAUAAUAAUAAUAAUAAUUAAUAAUUAAUUAAUAAAUGGAGAAAAUAACAUGGUAAUGAGGUAUUUCAAGCAACUGGCUUUCAAAUACUAGAAAAUUAAAUACUUGUGUGAAAAUGGCUUUCUUUAUGUGAAUUUUUAGCGAUUGGUAAUUAUUAUUAUACUUUGAUUUAAUGGGCUGGUGUCCUCAUCUUUAUGUGUUUAUCUCCGCACUAUGCGGUUUGAAUGAAGGGUUUGCUUUCGAGAAUACCGUAAAUGCUGCCGAAACAAAACUGCGACAGACACCCACAGAAGGCCGAAGAGUAAAACGAAGCAGUUGAAACACUGCACCUACAACAACCAAGAAGAGGUCACUCGAAGAAUAAAUCAACGAAUAAUAAUAAUAAUAAUAAUGGUUUGAAAUUUUGCCACAAGGGUAGCAAUUUUAGGGGAGGAGAAGAAUAGAUUACAUCGACCCCAGUGUUCAACUGGUACUUAUUUUAUCAACCACGAAAGGAUGAAAGGCAAAGUCGACUUCGGCGGAACUUUAACUCCGAACGUAUAGAAGGUCGAAAUGCCGCUAAGCAUUUUUCCUGGUGUUCUAAUGAUUCUGCCAGCUCGCAGCCUUUUCUUGAUGAUGAUGAUAAUAAUAAUAAUAAUAACAAUAAUAAUAAAAAUCCUUUCUACUAUAGGCACAAGGCCUGAAAUUUGGUGGGAGAGGGCCAGUCGAUUAGAUCGACUCCAGUACGCAACUGGCACUUAAUUUAUCGACCCCGAAAGAUGAAAGGCAAAGUCGACCUGGCGGACUUUGAACUCUGAACGUAAAGACGGUCGAAAGGCCGCAAAACUUUUCGCCCGACGUGCUAACGAUUCUGCUAGCUCGCAGUCGAUUUUGUUUGAUUUACGUUGGCAUACUUUGCUCUCAUCUGUGAUAUUUCGCCCUGGACUAUCAAUAGUGGUAUAAAGUGAGAUAAAUAACGGCAAAAUGAUAAUCUAAAUAGACAUAGCUUCCUUCCUCUAACACACACACGCACGCACACAUAGAGGUGACAGGGUUUAUAAACGCCCAAAAGUAAUAAAUGGUUUCUAAUUGAAGAGAAGGAAUUAAUCGAUGCCAUCGUCCCCCCUUUUGACUGGUAUUUUAUUUUAUCGAUACCCGAAGAAUUAAAAAGCUAAGGGAACUUCAGCAGGAUUUGAACUCAGAACAUAAAGAGCUGGAACAAAAUCCGCAAAGCAAUUUUUUUUCGACGCUCUAACGGUUCUACCAGUUCGCUUCCCUAUAUAUCCAAAAGUAAUGAUGUGUUCAAAUUUUGGCACAAGACCAGCAAUUUUGGGACUGGUACUUCUUGUAUCGACCCCGAAGGGAUGAAAGGCAAAGUCAACCUGGGCGGAAUUUGAACUCAGAACGUAAAGACGGAUAAAAUGCCGCCAAUAAUUUUGCCUAGUGCGGUAACGAUUCUACUAGCUUGCUUCCUUGGACAACCAAAAGUAAAACUCUUUCCACAAUAGGUACAAGGUCUGAAAUUCCAGGGGAGGGGGUUAGUCGAUCACGUCGACCCCAGUGCGCAACUGGUACUUAUUUCAUCGACCCGGAAAAGAUGAAAGGCAAAGUCAACCUCGGCGGAAUUUGAACUCAGAACGUAAAGACCAACGCAAGACCAGAAAUUUCAGGGUGGAGGCAAGUCGAUUAUAUCAACGACAGAGCUGAACAAGAAAUAAUGAAUGCUUGAUGUAAAUUGGUCCCUAUGAUCUAAAUGAUGAGGCAGACCCAAGGGAACGUAUUUCACGACCUUUGUGCCGGCUCAUCCUAAAUACCUGAAAAUUUAGUGGUCAAUCUAAAACUAUCCAAAUCUGUAUUUUUAUAUAUUUCUUUAUUGCCCACAAGGGGCUAAACAUAGAGGGGACAAACAAGGACAGAAAAGGGGAUUAAGUCGAUUACAUCGACCCCAGUGCGUAACUGGUACUUUAUUUAUCGACCCCGAAAGGAUGAAAGGCAAAGUCGACCGCGGCGGAAUUUGAACUCAGAACGUAGCGACAGACGAAAUACUGCUUAGCAUUUCGCCCGGCGUGCUAACGUUUCUGCCAGCUCGCCGCCUUACCACAUCUGUAUUUUUAUAAUGUAAGGUAAGAUAUUGUGUUUUAGAAAAGCACAUAGAAAUGAUGUUGUUAUAAAAUACUAUAAACUGUAUUACACGAAAUAUGUUAAAUAUAUGUUCUGUAUAUUUACAAUCAUAUUAGCCUAUGUACAUGAAAAUGAAAUGAGAUAUGCAAGGGAUGGAUAAGCAACGAAUUAACCUAUGUACAAUUUCCAUACCGUUGCUUGACUUGCUAACAAUAGCAGUCAUGUUUCUAAUGCUGGUGUUGCUACUGCUUUUGGGUACCGUAGUUCUUCGUAUACAAAAUAUGCUGGGAUAAUGCACUUUGAAUGUGGUUUUAUUAAACACACUAAAUAUAUGUCUGCUGUCGAUAGACAGAGAAAAUGGUAUGAAAACCCAUACUCUCGGUAAAGGAAGGGCAAUAUUCUAAUGCUGGUGUUGCUACUGCUUUUGAGCUCCGUUUUCCUCUAGAUAAGCAAGACUUAUGAUCAAAGGUAUUCCACUGAUGACUAACCACUAUUUUGUAUACGAAGAACUAUGGUCCUCAAUGUAAUGUUCUGUUUCUUUUCUUUUCUUUUUAAUAUGUGUGCGAUCUGUGAGAAACAUGACCGCUAUUUUUAGCAAGUCGAGCAACGGUAUGGAAAUUGUACGUAAGUUAACUAGUUGCUUGUCCAUUUGAAUUCUGAAUGAUAUUCUAUAUCAUAUCUCAUUUCAUUUUCAUGUACAUAGGCUAAUAUGAUUGUGUGUAAAUAUACAGAACAUAUAUUUAACAUAUUUCGUAUAAAACACAUUAAAAUGGAAGUCUGUCGGGGUUCGACAAUGACGUCAGUAACGCCGGAGUUGGGAGCGAAACCCAAAGGCGGACGCACAGACGCGGCCACAUGUUGGACACGUAACAGCAGAAAUAAGGCUGGGGAUCCUCUCUUUUCGGGCUUGUCACUUCUGGUCCAGGCUCUUUUCCUCGAACAGCCUAAGACCGUUUUGGACAGCUGGACGCCAGGCGCCGCGGUCAGAGGCAAGCGGUUCCCAUCCACGGGCUGAAAUGCCGCAGGACUCAAGUGAAGUUUUCAGGCUGUCCUUGUAUCGCCUCAGUGACCUUCCAGGGUUUCUUGCUCCAGAAGCCAACCCAGAGAAGAAGAUCAUCUUUGGUACAUAAUACACAAAACACACACAUAUAUCAAAUAUGUAAAAUAAAUAAUACAUAACAUCUAUUUAUAUUUAUAUAUAUACACACAAACACAUAUAACAUUGUGUAAUCUAUGCAACAAACAUUACGGACACCCACAUCGAAUUUGACACUUGUUGAAUUAGCUUAUGAAAUGGCCGAGUAUUCCAAGCACACAAUUCUCGGGUAGAAUCAACGUGACGCAAGCUUGACAAGACUAAAAGUAUAGUUUAUUCGACAGGUUUCCGGGUAGCUUCAGUCUACCCGUAUUCACUCGCGAGGCUUAGUUUAACAAGAGGUUAUGGUUAAUGUACUUACCCAAGAUAACAAUGGGAGCCUGGGCCCACUUUUUACCCAGCCACUCAUUCCUGCUAAAUUAUAUAUAUAUAUAUAUAUAUAUAUAUAUAUAUAGGCAUGCUUGUGUUAUAAGAAAUCUGUUUCUCAAGCAAUUGGCUUCGGGUUCAGUCCCACUGUGUGACACCUUGGGCAAGUGCCUCGCCCCGUGCCGACCAAAGCCUUGUGAAUGGAUAUGGUAGAUUGAAUCUGAAAGAACUCCAUCGUGUGUGUGUGUGUCUGUAUGUGUGUGUUUGUAUGCAUAUGAAUGUGUGAUAACGUCUCAGUGUCUGUCGCACCACCGCUUGACAAUCGGUGUUGGUUUGUUUACGUCCUUGUAACUUAGCGGCUUUGUAAAAAAGACCGAUAGACUAAGUAAAUAGACUUUAAAAAUAAUUAUUAUGGUUGAUCUGUUCGACUAAAACCCUUCAAGGCGCUGCCCCAUCAUGGCCGCAAUCCAAUGACUGAAAUGAGUAACACAAAGGAUUAAAGAUAAAUAUUCUAUAACCGAAGUUAUAAAAGUCAAUAGAUGGGUUUGGAUAAGGAAAGCAAAGCAGUAGUUUGUGAAACGGAUCGACUUCAGCCAGAUCGACUCGAUGUGGAUUCUGAUACUGAAAGACCCGAAGCCCCUGAAAAACCAUCAAAACAUCACUGAUGAAGCACCCCAGAGCACCAGCGAGAUGUAUUUUGGAACAAUACAUAAUGUGUUUAAUGCAUACAUACACAUGGUGAAUGUUUCCUCUUCCAGCUGUAUCUCUCUCUCACUCUUUCUCAGUUCAUUACAUUUUUCUACUUAAUUAUUUAGGAUUAUCAUUGCUGUCUUCAUAAUAGACAUGUGACAGGACAAGCGUUGUCUAAGGUAAAAAAAAAAUACCAUGAUAUGUUUAUAAAAAAUAAUACUUAAAAAAUAUUCUAUGCAGAAAUUUCCCUUCUGGAGUGGAGUGCGGACUUUAGUUAACCCACCAUAGAGGAAUUUGAAGGUUCAGAUAAAGAAUUUCUUUCAAGUUAACUAUUCGUUUAAUUCUCAUGAUACGCACAUCUUUGGUUCUAAAUUUACUACUCUUGGUAUAAAACAGUUCUAACAUUAAAUUUAUACGGUUUCUAAUUUAGGUACAAAGCCAGUAGUUUUGAGCAGAGAAUGCUUUUAGUGGAUACCAUCGACUCCAGUACUUGGUUGGUAUUUUAUUCUACCGACCCCGACAAGAUGAAAAGCAAAGAUGAGCUCGUCGGCGGGAUUUGAAACCAGAACGUAAAGGAAUCGCAGGAAAUCCCCUAUGGCAUUUUGUUCGACACUCUAACCAUUCUGGCAGUUAACCUGUCCGCGAGAUUAUAAUAUAAAUAAUUUUUCUUAUCAUAUAUGUAUAGGGUAGAACUGGGUUGGUGAAUAAGGAACCGUAAAUAAAAACGGUUUUCUUAACAUUGUUAUAAAACAACGAAUCCUGCUCGGUUCAAUCCUCAUUCAAAGCUAGUAAAAAGUAAAAUACCGCACUGGGUCCUAACAUUUUCAAAUUUUAACACAAGGCCGACGAGUUCGGACAUAAAUCGAUUAAAUCGAGCGGAGUCCUCAACUGGUAGUUGUUUAAUCGAUCCGGAAAAAAAUGAAAAGGAUAGCCGACCUUGGAGGAAUUUGAACUCAAAACGUAAAGACGGAUGAAAACGAUUCUACCAGCUCACGGCCUUCCUAGGUCUUAAUGUUGCGGCGAGACUGAAUACUUGUGGUCUUGAGACAAACGGAAGAAUGAACGAGAUCAUCUAUGUUAGACCGACUGAUGAAGAUUACGACAAAAAUGGUUGCGUCACGUAUAUAAUAAAGACGGAAGCCUCGUUGUGGAUGUACAAAGCUGGAGGUUAGCACAGUAUACAUUCUGGCUCUCUACUGUCUCUGUUCAAAUCCCGCAGGGGGUAACUUUGCUUUUAUCCUUUCAUAUUAAUUUAUUCAACUAUCCAACUAUUUGUCUAUUUAUUCGUUUCAUUUACACAUCUCUCUAAUGAUUUAUGGAUAGAAAUAAUUGUUGGAAUGUUUAUUUACGAACUCAAUUUACAUUUUAAUGAGAAGAUGUAAAUAAUCAUAAAGAGAUGACGAUGAGAACGAUGAAGAUGAUGAUGAAGGGGAGGAGGAAGAGGAUUUUAAAGAAAUCCUGAAAGAUGAAUAUAAAAUUAAAUUAUAAUACAAAUAAAAUUAAAAGCAAAGUUCGCAAUUUUAAAACAUUUUUCUUUCUUUUUCAUUUCGAUUUUUUUUUUAAUUAAGAAAAAUUGGAAUGUUGUCUAUCGAUAUAUUUUGAUUGAUUUUUGACUAGGUAGGAACAAGGUCACCAUUACGUAAGUAAAAAAGCAGAUAGAUGAUUGAAUUGACACCAAUAUGCAACCGGUAUUUGUUUCAAGACCCACUCCAUCUUUUUUCAUACUUCCCAAGGGAUAAAAGUCAACUUCAUCGUAAUUUUAAAUCUAGAAAUGACAGUCUCUUUAUUAAAUUGUGUUCUAAUGUUCAUUAAUCAAAGAUCGAAGGCAUCCGAGCCAUGACCAUCCAGCCAGCAGCUUAAUUUCCAACAUAAGAUAUUAGAGUCCUAGAUGCACUAAGCAGCUUUCCAUUUUUAAAGACGUUUCGAUUUAGUCCCUUGGCCACCUUUGAUCAAAACGAAGGUGUUCCAGCAGUGAUCACCCCUCAUCAAUCAUGUAUAUCAGAGAUUAAUUAUUCAAUAUACCCUUUUUAUUUAAGAUGAGGAUAAAGAGUAAAGACCCCCUCGGUCAUGAACGACCAUGGGAUUGCACCUAGAAAGUUUCCCUUCGAGGUAAAAAUCUGAGCAAGGUUGCUUAUGGAAGACCAACAGUCGCCCAUGCAUACCAGCUUCUCCUCUUCACGCCACUGAUGUUAUCCAAAGCAAAGACAAUGGCCGACACAGCUUGGCACCAGUGACGUCGCAACUCAUUUCUACAGCUGAGCGAACUGGAGCAACGUGAAAUAAAGUGUCUUGCUCAAGAACCCAACACACAGCUCCAUCCAAGAAUUGAACACACUACUUCAUGGUGAGCUCGACACUAACCACUGAGCCAUGUGCCUUCACAUUUAAGAUAGUAAGGCCUGAUUUAAAGCCGAUUUGGUUGUUAGUUUUAGUAAAUCAAACAACUACAUACAGGCAAAAAUCUGAACUUUACUGGCUGGAUAUUUCUAGAAAUAACACAUGACUGGAACCCUUUAUAAUAAUUGUUCACUUUAGAAUGCUCUGUCUCUGUAAAACCAGGAAUCAUUCCUAGAUUUUGAUCAGGUUAAGUUAACCAUGUAAAAUUUAAAACUUAAGUUUUAAAUGGCCACAGACAUGAUAGAAGUGUCACAGAUCUCUUCAGCUGGUAGACUAACAGCCUAUCAACUUACUCCACUGUCUUAACGACCUCGCAAAUGGCAGGUGAGUUUUCAUACAGAUUCAUUAAGAGACGAAUUAGUAACUAAAACAGCCUUGACUAAUGCUCUCAAAAGUAAUCUUUAUAACCAUGUUCGAUAUUGAAAGAAUUCAGUAUCUUCUAACAAAUGCAUGCUUACGCAACAAGAAAGUGAGUCGAAGUUUGAAAAUGAAAUACUACAGGGAAUGACUCAAAUCGCUUACAUGUUAUUGCAAGGUUUGUGUAUGUGUAUAUGUGGUGUGUGUGUAUG
rnacentral:lncRNA from 1 species